rnacentral:rRNA from 1 species
UGAUUAAUUUAAUGGCCGCGGUAUUUUGACCGUGCAAAGGUAGCAUAAUCAUUAGUUUAUUAAUUGUGAACUUGUAUGAAUGGUUUAACGAAACAUUAUCUGUCUCAAUUUAAUUAUUAGAAUUUAAAAUUUAAGUUAAAAUGCUUAAAUUUUUUUGGAGGACGAGAAGACCCUAUAGAUCUUUAAUUAAUUUAUUUUAAUCCUUUUUGGAAUAUUAUUUGGUAUAAUUUAAAUUAAUUUUUGUUGGGGUGACAUUUAGAUUUAUUUAACUCUUUUUAAUUUUUAUCAUUUAUUUAUGAUUAUGUGACCUAUUAUUAUUGUUUAUAAGAUUUAGAUACCUUAGGGAUAACAGCGUUAUCUUUCUUGAGAGUUCUUAUCGACAGAAAGGAUUGCGACCUCGAUGUUGGAUUAAGAUUAUAUUUGGGUGUAGAUGUUCAAAUGUUAGGUCUGUUCGACCUUUAAAUUCUUA